rnacentral:rRNA from 1 species
UGGGGAAUAUUGCACAAUGGGCGCAAGCCUGAUGCAGCCAUGCCGCGUGUGUGAAGAAGGCCUUCGGGUUGUAAAGCACUUUCAGCGGGGAGGAAGGCGAUAAGGUUAAUAACCUUGUCGAUUGACGUUACCCGCAGAAGAAGCACCGGCUAACUCCGUGCCAGCAGCCGCGGUAAUACGGAGGGUGCAAGCGUUAAUCGGAAUUACUGGGCGUAAAGCGCACGCAGGCUGUCUGUCAAGUCGGAUGUGAAAUCCCCGGGCUCAACCUGGGAACUGCAAUAGAAACUGGCAGGCUAGAGUCUUGUAGAGGGGGGUAGAAUUCCAGGUGUAGCGGUGAAAUGCGUAGAGAUCUGGAGGAAUACCGGUGGCGAAGGCGGACCCCUGGACAAAGACUGACGCUCAGGUGCGAAAGCGUGGGGAGCAAACAGG